AGAAACUAAAUAGGAUUCCCCCAGUAAUGGCGAAUGAACAGGGAAGAGCUCAGCAUGGAAAUCGGGGCCUCCCGGCCUUGAAUUGUAGUCUUGAGAUGUACUGCCAACGGAGGCGCAGAUGUAAGCCUCUUGGAAAAGAGCAUCAACGAGGGUGAGAGUCCCGUUUGUCAUCUGCAGUCCCCCGUGUACGGUGUACAUUCUAAGAGUCACGUUCCUCGGGAUUGGAGCGCAAAGUGGGUGGUAAAUUUCAUCUAAAGCUAAAUAUUGGUUCGAGACCGAUAGCAAACAAGUACCAUGAGGGAAAGGUGAAAAGGACUUUGAAAAGAGAGUUAAAAGUGCCUGAAAUUGCUGAAAGGGAAGCGAAUGGAACCAGUGUUCUUGAUGAGAUUGUCGUGUACUCUGGUGAUUGCUGGGUGCUCCACCGCAAGGGGGGCAUUUGGUUUUGAGCUAGAUGUGCGUGGUGUUUCUUGUCUUGUGUGUCACCGUCGGUGCAUGAGCGAGUAAACCUCCAGGGAGAUGGUAUCUCGACCGCGGUUGAGUGAAUGUCUCUGGCAGUACUCAUUUAUGUAUCGAUCCCUGCGUGUCUGGUUGCAGUGUUUGAGUCGUCUGGAAGCUCCUGAAAGGCUUGCCCUCGAAGGACUUUCUGGGCACCUCGAGCAUCUCCCUGACACAAAGACGAUGACUAAAUGGUUCUAUUCGACCCGUCUUGA
rnacentral:rRNA from 1 species